AAUGAACGUUGGCGGCAUGGAUUAGGCAUGCAAGUCGAGCGAGAAGUGUAGCAAUACACGGAAAGCGGCGGAAGGGAGAGUAAUACGUGGGAAUCUGCCCUUAGACCUGGGAUAGCAGCGGGAAACUGCUGGUAAUACCAGAUAAUGUCUAUGGACCAAAGGUGUGAUUCCGUCUAGGGAUGAGCCCACGUCCUAUUAGCUAGUUGGUAGGGUAAUGGCCUACCAAGGCGACGAUGGGUAGCGGGUGUGAGAGCAUGACCAGCCUCACUGGGACUGGGACACUGCCCAGACACCUACGGGUGGCUGCAGUCGAGAAUCUUCGGCAAUGGGCGCAAGCCUGACCGAGCGAUGCCGCGUGCGGGAUGAAGGCCUUCGGGUUGUAAACCGCUGUCGAGGGGGAGCAACUUCCAUAGAGUUAUCUUUAUGGAUUGAGUGAUCCCUGGAGGAAGGGCGGGCUAAGUUCGUGCCAGCAGCCGCGGUAAGAC
rnacentral:rRNA from 1 species